CGCACGAGCGCACCCCUAUCCUUAGAUUGCUAGCAGGGUAAUGCUGAGAACUCUAAGGAGACUGCCGGGUGAUAAACCGGAGGAAGGUGGGGACGACGUCAAGUCAUCAUGGCCCUUACGUGUAGGGCUACACACGUGCUACAAUGGCGCAUACAGAGUGCUGCAAACUCGCGAGAGUAAGCGAAUCACUUAAAGUGCGUCGUAGUCCGGAUUGGAGUCUGCAACUCCACUCCUUGAANUCGGAAUCGCUAGUAAUCGCGUAUCAGAAUGACGCGGUGAAUACNUUCCCGGGCCUUGUACACACCGCCCGUCACACCAUGGGAGUGGGUUGCUCCAGAANUAGAUAGUCUAACCCUCGGGAGGACGUUUACCACGGNNUGAUUCAUGACUGGGGUGAAGUCNUAACAAGGUACCCCUAGGGGNGGGGGGGGGCUGGAUCACCUCCUU
rnacentral:rRNA from 1 species